rnacentral:lncRNA from 1 species
UGGCGGUGGGCACGGUGAUGGCGGUGGCGGUGGGCACGGUGAUGGCGGCGUUACGACGGGUGGAGGCGUAUGAGUGGGUGGUUUAGGGGUGGACGGAGGUGGUUUAACAGUGGGCGGUUUCGUGGGUGGUUUCGGGGUAGACGGAGGAGGUUUAACGGUGGGCGGUUUCGUGGGUGGUUUCGGGGUGGACGGAGGUGGUUUAACGGUGGGCGGUUUCGUGGGUGGUUUCGGGGUGGGAUGAGGUUUGGUAGGGGGUUUCGGAUGUGGGUGUGGUUUGACAGUGGGCGGUUUGGUAGGGGGUUUAGGGUGUGGGUGUGGUUUGACGGUGGGUGGUUUGGGAGGUUUUACUGCCGGUGGUUUAGGCGGUUUGCUAGGAUGUUUAGGCGGUUUGUGGGGGUGAGGUGAUGGUUUAGGAGGGCUACAGUCGCAAGCGAAG